GACGUAGGGCGCGAGCGUUGUCCGGAUUUAUUGGGCGUAAAGAGCUCGUAGGCGGCUUGUCGCGUCGUCUGUGAAAUCCCGCAGCUCAACUGUGGGCUUGCAGCUGAUACGGGCAGGCUUGAGUUCGGUAGGGGAGACUGGAAUUCCUGGUGUAGCGGUGGAAUGCGCAGAUAUCAGGAGGAACACCAGUGGCGAAGGCGGCACUCUGGGCCGGUACUGACGCUGAGGAGCGAAAGCGUGGGGAGCGAACAGG
rnacentral:rRNA from 1 species